rnacentral:lncRNA from 1 species
GGAAUUUAGGGGGGAAAAAUGGGAAUUUUGGGGGGGGGAAAUUGGGGAUUUGGGGGGAAAAAUGGGGAUUUUGGGGGGAAAAUUGGGAAUUUUGGGGGGAAAAAUGGGAUUUUAGAAAGGAAAAAUGGGAAUUUUUUGGGGAAAAAUGGGAAUUUGGGAAAGAGAAAUGGGAAUUUUGGGGGAGAAAAUGGGAAUUUUGGGGGAAAAUGGGAAUUUGGGGGGAGAAAUGGGAAUUUUUGGGGAAAAAUGGGAAUUUUUUGGUGUUUUUUGUGUUCUGGGUGUGUUUUUGGGUGGAUUUUGGUGGUUUUUGGGUGGAUUUGGGUGGGUUUUGGGUGUUUUUGAGGGUUUUUUUGGUAUUUUUUGUGUUCUGGGUGUGUUUUUGGGUGGAUUUGGGUGUUUUUUGGGUGAAUUUUGGUGUUUUUUGGGUCUAUUUUGGUGUUUUUUGGGUGGAUUUUGGUGUUUCUUUGAUUUUUUUGUGUUCUGGGUGUGUUUUUGGGUGGAUUUGGGUGUUUUUUGGGUGAAUUUUGGUGUUUUUUGGGUGUUUUUUUGGUGUUUUUGAGGGUUUUUUGAUGUUUUUUUGUGUUCUGGGUGUGUUUUUGGGUGGAUUUUGGUGUUUUUUGGGUGUUUUUAGUGGGUUUUUUGGUGUUUUUCGUGUUCUGGGUGCGUUUUUGGGUGGAUUUUGGUGUUUUUUGGGUCUCUGACCUGCAGCAGGUCCCCGCAGGCGCUGGCCAGGAGCCCCCUCUGGCUGAAUUCCAGGUGUGCAGCCCCCGUUGGGACCCCCCAUUCCCGCAGGACCCCGAAAUUCCGCAGGUCAAAAAUCCGGAUCUUCCGGUCCAAACCCGACGUGGCCAUCAGGCUGCGUUGGGGGGGAAGAAAUUCCUGCUGGAUUCCGGGGAAAACCAGCGAAAUCCAGGGAAAUCCAACCCAAAUCCAACCAAAUCCAACCAAAUUCCUGCUAAAUUCCAGCAAAAUCCAACCCAAAUCCGCCCAAAUUCCUGCUGGAUUCCAGGGAAAACCAGCAAAAUCCAGGGAAAUCCCACCCAAAUCCAACCAAAUCCACCCAAAUUCCUGCUGGAUUCCAGGGAAAAUCCAGGGAAAUCCCAGAAAAAUCCAACCAAAAUCCAGCAAAAUCCAACCCAAAUUCCAGCAAAAUUCACCCCAAAUCCACCAAAAUCCAACCCAAAUCCAACCAAAUUCCAGCAAAAUCCAGGGAAAUCCAACCCAAAUCCCACCUAAAUCCACCCAAAUCCCACCAAAUUCCAGCAAAAUUCACCCCAAAUCCAGGGAAAUCCAACCCAAAUUCACCAAAAUCCAGGGAAAUCCCACCCAAAUCCACCCAAAUCCAACCAAAUUCCUGCUGGAUUCCAGGGAAAACCAGCAAAAUCCAGGGAAAUCCCACCCAAAUCCACCCAAAAUCCAGCAAAAUCCGCCCAAAUUCCAGGAAAAUCCAACCCAAAUCCACCCAAAUCAAAUCCACCCAAAAUCCAGCAAAAUCCGCCCAAAUUCCAGGAAAAUCCAACCCAAAUCCACCCAAAUCCAGCCCAAAUCCAGGAAAAUCCAACCCAAAUCCACCCAAAUUCCUGCUGGAUUCCGGGGAAAACCAGCAAAAUCCAGGGAAAUCCCAGCAAAAUCCAACCAAAUUCCAGCAAAAUCCAACCCAAAUCCAGGGAAAUCCCACCCAAAUCCAACCGAAAUCCACCCAAAUCCAACCAAAUGCCUGCAAAAUCCACCCAAAUUCCUGCUGGAUUCCAGGGAAAACCAGGGAAAUCCAAACCAAAUCCACCCAAAUUCCAGCAAAAUCCACCCAAAUUCCUGCAAAAUCCAACCCAAAUCCACCCAAAUUCCAGCUGAAUUCCAGCAAAAUCCAGGAAAAUCCAACCCAAAUUCAAGGAAAUCCACCCCAAAUCCAGCAAAAUUCACCCAAAUCCAGGGAAAUCCACCCAAAUUCCAGAAAAAUCCAGGGAAAUCCCACCCAAAUCCAGGAAAAUCCAACCCAAAUUCACCAAAAUCCAGGAAAACCCCACCCAAAUCCACCCAAAUUCCUGCUGGAUUCCAGGGAAAACCAGGGAAAUCCAGGGAAAUCCCAGAAAAAUCCAACCAAAUCCAGGAAAAUCCGCCCAAAAUCCAGGAAAAUCCAACCCAAAUCCAGGGAAAUCCCACCCAAAUUCACCAAAAUCCACCCAAAUUCCUGCUGGAUUCCAGGGAAAACCAGCAAAAUCCAGGGAAAUCCAAAUCCAGGAAAAUCCAACCCAAAUCCAGGGAAAUCCCACCCAAAUUCACCAAAAUCCACCCAAAUUCCUGCUGGAUUCCAGGGAAAACCAGCAAAAUCCAGGGAAAUCCCAGAAAAAUCCAACCAAAAUCCAACAAAAUCCGCCCCAAAUCCAGAAAAAUCCAACCCAAAUCCACCAAAAUCCCACCCAAAUUCACCAAAAUCCACCCAAAUCCAACCCAAAUCCAACCAAAUUUCAGCAAAAUCCAACCCAAAGUCACCAAAAUCCACCCAAAUUCACCAAAUUCCAGCAAAAUUCACCCAAAACCAGGGAAAUCCCACCCAAAUCCACCCAAAUUCCUGCUGGAUUCCAGGGAAAACCAGGAAAAUCCAGGGAAAUCCCAGAAAAAUCCAACCAAAUUCCAGCAAAAUCCAACCAAAAUCCACCCAAAUUCCUGCUGGAUUCCAGGGAAAACCAGCAAAAUCCAGGGAAAUCCAGGAAAAUCCAACCCAAAUCCCACCUAAAUCCACCCAAAUCCACCCAAAUCCAGCAAAAUCCGCCCAAAUUCCUGCUGGAUUCCAGGGAAAACCAGGGAAAUCCAGGGAAAUCCAACCCAAAUCCAACCAAAUUCCAGCAAAAUCCGCCCAAAUUCCUGCAAAAUCCAACCCAAAUCCACCCAAAUUCCUGCUGGAUUCCUGGGAAAACCAGGGAAAUCCAGGAAAAUCCAACCCAAAUCCAACCCAAAUUCCUGCUAAAUUCCAGGGAAAACCAGGAAAAUCCAACCCAAAUUCACCAAAACCCAGGGAAAUCCCACCCAAAUUCACCCAAAUUCACCAAAUUCCAGCAAAAUCCACCCCAAAUCCACCCAAAUUCCUGCUGGAUUCCAGGGAAAACCCGGGAAAUCCAGGGAAAUCCCAAAUCCAACCAAAACCACCCAAAUUCCAGCAAAUUCCACCCAAAUCCCAGCAAAAUCCACCCCAAAUCCAGGGAAAUCCAACCCAAAUUCACCAAAAUCCAGGGAAAUCCCAGAAAAAUCCAACCAAAUUCCAGCAAAAUCCACCCAAAUUCCACCCAAAUCCAACCAAAUUCCAGCAAAAUCCAACCCAAAUCCAGGAAAAUCCAACCCAAAUUCACCAAAAUCCAGGGAAAUCCAACCAAAUCCACCCAAAUCCAACCAAAUUCCAGCAAAAUCCAACCAAAUUCACCAAAUUCCACCCAAAUUCCAGAAAUCCCCCAGAAUUCCCAGAAAUCCCCCCAAAAUCCCAGAAAUCCCCCAGAAUUCCCAGAAAUUCCCCAAAUUUCCCCGGAAUUCCCAGAAAUCCAGCAGAAAUCUCCCGUAAUUCCUGGAAAUCCCCCCAAAAUCCCCUGGAAUUCCCAGAAAUCCCCAAAAAAUCUCCCAGAAUUCCUGGAAAUCCCCCCAGAAAUCCCCCAGAAUUCCCAGAAAUCCCCCCAAAAUCCCAGAAAUCCCCCAGAAAUCCCAGAAAUCCCCCAGAAAUCCCCCGGAAUUCCCCAAAUUUCCCCGGAAUUCCCCAAAUUUCCCAGGAAUUCCCCCAGAAAUCCCCCAGAAUUCCCGGAAAUCCCCCCAAAAUCCCAGAAAUCCCCCAGAAUUCCCCGAAUUUCCCCGGAAUUCCCCAAAUUUCCCUGGAAUUCCCCAAAAUUUCCCCGGAAUUCCCCAAAUUUCCCAGGAAUUCCCCGAAAUUUCCCCAGAAUUCCCAAAAAUUCCCCCAGCAAUCCCCAAAAGUCCCCCAGAAUUCUCAGAAAUCCCCCCAAAAAUCCCCCAAAAUCCCAGAAAUCCCCCGAAAUUCCCCAAAUUUCCCCGAAUUUCCCGGGAAUUCCCAGAAAUCCCCCCAAAAAUCCCCCCAAAAUCCCAGAA